rnacentral:rRNA from 1 species
GACGAACGCUGGCGGCGUGCUUAACACAUGCAAGUCGAACGGAAAGGCCCUGCUUUUGUGGGGUGCUCGAGUGGCGAACGGGUGAGUAACACGUGAGUAACCUGCCCUUGACUUUGGGAUAACUUCAGGAAACUGGGGCUAAUACCGGAUAGGAGCUCCUGCUGCAUGGUGGGGGUUGGAAAGGUUCGGCGGUUGGGGAUGGACUCGCGGCUUAUCAGCUUGUUGGUGGGGUAGUGGCUUACCAAGGCUUUGACGGGUAGCCGGCCUGAGAGGGUGACCGGCCACAUUGGGACUGAGAUACGGCCCAGACUCAUACGGGAGGCAGCAGUGGGGAAUAUUGCACAAUGGGCGGAAGCCUGAUGCAGCAACGCCGCGUGCGGGAUGACGGCCUUCGGGUUGUAAACCGCUUUCGCCUGUGACGAAGCGUGAGUGACGGUAAUGGGUAAAGAAGCACCGGCUAACUACGUG